AUUGAACGCUGGCGGCAGGCCUAACACAUGCAAGUCGAGCGGAUGAAGGGAGCUUGCUCCUGGAUUCAGCGGCGGACGGGUGAGUAAUGCCUAGGAAUCUGCCUGGUAGUGGGGGAUAACGUCCGGAAACGGGCGCUAAUACCGCAUACGUCCUGAGGGAGAAAGUGGGGGAUCUUCGGACCUCACGCUAUCAGAUGAGCCUAGGUCGGAUCAGCUAGUUGGUGGGGUAAAGGCCUACCAAGGCGACGAUCCGUAACUGGUCUGAGAGGAUGAUCAGUCACACUGGAACUGGGACACGGUCAAGACUCCUACGGGAGGCAGCAGUGGGGAAUAUUGGGCAGUGGGCGAAAGCCUGAUCCAGUCAUGCCGCGUGUGAGAAGAAGGUCUUCGGAUUGUAAAGCACGUUAAGUUGGGAGGAAGGGCAGUAAGUUAAUACCUUGCUGUUUUGACGUUACCAGCAGAAUAAGCACCGGCUAACUUCGUG
rnacentral:rRNA from 1 species